rnacentral:rRNA from 1 species
AUUGAACGCUGGCGGCAGGCCUAACACAUGCAAGUCGAACGAGUGGCGGACGGGUGAGUAAUGUCUGGGAAACUGCCUGAUGGAGGGGGAUAACUACUGGAAACGGUAGCUAAUACCGCAUACCAUCAGAUGUGCCCAGAUGGGGGUAGCUAGUAGGUGGGGGAACGGCUCACCUAGGCGACGAUCCCUAGCUGGUCUGAUAGGAUGACCAGCCACACUGGAACUGAGACACGGUCCAGACUCCUACGGGAGGCAGCAGUGGGGAAUAUUGCACAAUGGGCGCAAGCCUGAUGCAGCCAUGCCGCGUGUAUGAAGAAGGCCUUCGGGUUGUAAAGUACUUUCAGCGGGGAGGCGUUACCCGCAGAAGAAGCACCGGCUAACUCCGUGCCAGCAGCCGCGGUAAUUC